UGGGGAAUAUUGGGCAAUGGAGGGAACUCUGACCCAGCGACGCCGCGUGCGGGAUGAAGGCCUUCGGGUUGUAAACCGCUUUCAGCAGGGAAGAAGCGAAAGUGACGGUACUUGCAGAAGAAGCACCGGCUAACUAUGUGCCAGCAGCCGCGGUAAUACAUAGGGUGCAAGCGUUGUCCGGAAUUAUUGGGCGUAAAGGGCGCGUAGGCGGUUUUAUAAGUUUGAUGUGAAAGCCCUGGGCUUAACCUAGGAAUAGCAUUGGAUACUGUAAGACUAGAGUCCGAGAGGGGGAAAUGGAAUUGCGAGUGUAGAGGUGAAAUUCGUAGAUAUGCGGAGGAACACCGAUGGCGAAGGCAAUCCCCUGGACCUGUACUGACGCUCAUGCACGAAAGCGUGGGGAGCAAACAGG
rnacentral:rRNA from 1 species